UUUCCUCCGCAGGCUGGGGAUUUCUUAAGUUUUCUUUUCUUCUCACCAGGCUAUGCAAACUAAUGGAUCUCUUUGUUUUAAGAGAAACAAAAACAAAGCAGUCAGUAUUUUUUUAGGAAAAAGAAACCCAGUUGCUUUCCAUUCCACACCUCACAACAGAACUGCAAUCAUAAGUCUCCCCUCCCAGGAAGGUUUAAAGGAGAUUCUCCAACAACUUGAAUGCCAUUUUACAUGGGGGUUGCAGAAAGAGCAUAUUGAUCCUGACGAAUUGGAAGAAAGAAUUGCUGAGCAGAUCCAGUUCUUAAUCAAUAAAUCCAAAGUUCAAAAUUACAACCUUCUUGCCUUUGUGAAAUUCCUGAACGACAAGAAGGACGAAGCCCUGGAAAACUUGCAGAAAGCUGAAGAGACUGUGCCCAUAGAAUACCCUGAGGGUGUUGAGAAGGGAAGCCUGGUUACCUGGGGUAACUAUGCCUGGUUGCACUACCACAUGGGCAAUCUUACGGAAUCCCAAGGCUACGUGGAGAAGGUAGAAACCACCUGCAAGCAACUUGGAAGUGAGUCUCCUUAUAAGGUGGAGCUCCCACAGAUUGAGUGUGAAAAGGGUUGGGCUCUCCUCAAAUUUGGAGCCUGGUAUUAUGAAAAGGCCAAGGAGAGCUUUGAAAAAGCCCGGGAUAAAGAACCCGAAAACCCAGAAUUUAAUUCAGGCUAUGCAAUCACAAUAUACCGCCUGGAAGAUUAUUAUGCAAAAAAACUUUCAGGAAAAGCUUCUUCACUGGAACCUUUGAGGCUUGCAGUGAAACUGAAUCCCAGCGACAUAUUUGUGACUCCUCUCCUUGCAUUAAAGUUACAGGAAACAAACAGAGUGAAGGAAGGAGAAAAUUACAUGAAGGAAGUGCUUGGAAACCAUCCUGACGUUCCUUAUGUGUUAAGGUACGCUGCCAAAUUUUACAGAAAGAAAGGAGACUUAGAGACAUCAUUGCAACAUUUGAAGAAAGCAUUAAGCUUGACCCCGAACUCUGGAUUCCUGCACCAUCAAAUUGGGAUUUGCUAUAGAACACAGUAUUUCACCCUGAAAAAAAAAAAGUUCAAGGACCAAUUCCGGUCUUUUCUAAAGCUGUAUGAACUGAUGAACCUUUGCAUUUUUCAUUUCCAGAAAGUGGUGGAGCGUAAAACCAAGUUUGUCUAUGCUUAUAUUGACCUUGCUAACAUGUAUGCUGAAAAACAAGACCUACGGGGAGCGGAUGAAACCUUUCAGAAAGUGUUUGCCAUCAGCAACCUAAGUGCUACAGAGAAGCAGCAGCUUCAUUUUAAUUAUGGACGUUUUCAGGAACGUCACAGAAAAUCAGACGUGAACGCUAUGAAACAGUACCUGCAUGGGCUGAAAAUUGAAAACCAUUCGUUUGAACAAAAGAAUUGUGAGAGGAGCUUGAAGAGAUUGAUGGAUAAGACAGUUAAGAAAGGUCCAAUAUGUGUUGAGGUAUUUGAAAGCAUAGGAUUCAUGUUCCAACGCCUUGGCUUAAAAGAAAAAGCCAUUGAAGCCUUUGAAUCAGCCCUGAAAAUGGAUCCUGGGAAUGAAGAGUAUCUGAGUGCAGUUAUGAACUUGAAGCUUUCCUUGGAAAGCUAAAUGUUUGCUGUGUUUGAAAGCAUAUGGUUUCCAAAUAUUUUCAGCCUUGCGUUUCAUGCCACGUCAAAAACCCAAACUUAGCAUUUGCAGUUGCCUUGAGCUACAGUACUUUCAUCUCUGCUGAGUGUGUUUUUUAGAAGAAUAUUAGUUUCUAAUAAGGCCUUCUUAGAACACUAAAAGUCAAAACAUUAAACAGCAAGCAAGAUUAAAAAACCCGCAAUGUAUAUAUGGGAUGGAGGUGGAAUCUUAGAAUGAUGCUCUGUAGCUUCAACAAGUCCUUGGCAGAAGCUGAAAUGACUCUGUACAUGUACCCCAAUUUACCACUGAGCCAUGGUGGCGCAGUGGUUAGAAGGCAGUUUUGCAGGCUAAUUCUGCUGACGGCCAGCACUUUCAUUCUCACUGGCUCAUGGUUGACUCAGCCUUCCAUCCUUCUGAGGUGGGUAACAUGAGGACCCAGAUUGUUGGGGGCAAGAUGCUGACUCUGUAAACUGCUUAGAAAGGGCUGUAAACAGGGGAGAAAUGCUCCUGGUUCGGACCGGAUCGCCCAAUCCGGUAGCGAUGGCGGGUGAUUCGGAGAACGGGUAGCAAAAAUCCCUGCCUUCCCCCCAUGUUGAAAAAAUGCUUUUAAAAGUAAAAAAAAAAAAGCCUCUGAUGAUCACAUGGCUCAGCUGGGAUCAUCAGAGCCUUUUAAAAGCAUGUUUUUACAACCUCUUCGGCCAAAGAGGUUGUAGAAAAGAUGCUUUUAAAAGUUUUUUUAUAAAAAAGUUGGCCACGCCCACCCAGUCACAUUCCCCUCUCCCACCAACUAGCUUUGCUGGCUGAGGAAUUCUGGGAGUUGAAGUCCACAAGUCUUAAAAGUUGGCAAGUUGGAGAUCCCUGAUAGAGACAUAAAUAUGAGUUUGCGACAAGAGCUAACAUUUUCAGAGCAUAAUAGUGUCUCGAAUGACAUACAUAGUAUAUGGAAUUUGACAACUAUUCAUUCUCCAUGCUCUUACUAUGGCCACAAGACUGAUACUGCAGCAUUGGAAAGAUAAAGGUAUGGCCACGUUCACUCAGCAGAUUGAAGAGCUGAUUAUACUUGUCGCCUAUGAGUGGAUUGCCUAUAGACAUAUUGUGUGUGGACAAGCAUAAUAUAAUAUGCGACACAUUUAUACUCCGCAGCCAUGAUAGUAAUAGAUGUGUAUUAAAUAUAUAUAUUUCUUGAAUAAUAAUAUACUUUUUUCUCUUUUGUAUUUUUUAACCUCUUAAAGUAAUCUGUUACUUUUCUUUGAUAAUGUAGCUUAUUGCUAUCAUAAUUAUCUUUGUAAAUACCAAAUAAGUUGGCCUUACAGGUUUCUUAUAGCUAUUAAAAAGGGGGAAAAAAUACAACUUUUUUUUUUUUGCUUUUAUCCUACUUUGAUCUAUGAAAUAUCUGGCUCUGCUGAAUAAAAGUAAAAUAUCCCGGCCUUUGCAUUCUUCAAGGUGGCACCUGCAGAAAGUUGUAAUUGCUGUAACUAAAAAGUAUAUAAUCUGGACAACAGCUUUAGGGAAACUCCUAUUUAAUUGCUGGGUUGUUCAUAAAUGAAGAUGCUAUCACAAAUAAUUGAGGUAGCUGGCCCAAGUUCAGUUUAGUUCAAGUUCAGUUCCCAGUUAGUUUAUGAACCCCGUGGUUUUCUUUGAAACUGAAGAAUUAAUUUGUUUCCCAUAGUUUCUUUCGAAAUGCUAUUUGACUUCUGAGUCUAGUCUAGUCAGGAAGCUAAGGAGAGCAGCCUCCCAUUCAAAUACCAACCAAAUCUUGUUUUACUAUUUUGGGAUUAGCCAGAGCCAGCCAUAAAUCUUCUGCUGAUUGCAAAGACACCACAACUGAAUACAGGAAUCAUGGAGAAGGGCCUUUGUUUCUCUACCAAAACCACUACUUGAUGGAAGGCUUUUGCAGGAAAAUGAUGACAAGGAAGAGAUGAUCUGAUGGAUCUGGUCAGGGGCCCAUUACUCAAAUGCCUACUUGUGGUCAGAUCAAUUGUGGUUUCUUAGCAAAAGUUUACAAAGUGUCACUCUUGUUGGCCAGGCUGUUGUCAUCUUCAGUCAAUUGGCAAAUUGCUGGUCUUCUUUCUUUCUCACAGGAAAGCUCUAGGGAGGAUCCUUAGGGUGUGUAUGACAUUAUUAUACUUCAGGUAUCAUAAACAAGCUUGUAAUCUCUUGUAGGAAAUUAAUUGAGUGAUUUGGAUCUCUCUCUCCAUCACUAUGGGUAAUUAGGAAUAAUGACACUAUGGCAGCAAUGAAAUAAAAAUAAAAAUGCCUAAUUUGAAAUUGCAUUAUGAAGCAGUCGCCUUAUCCUUAAUUUCUGAUUGGUUUAACUUAACAGACGAAAGGGUUUUGAAUAUAGAAGGUUAUGGUUUGUUAUAUGGUUGGCAUGCAUAUGUACUAUAUGAUAAAAAAAUUGAUAAGACAUUUAAGAAUAAUAUAGUUAGAAGUGCUUUGUUGAGGGUUUGGAAAAAAUAUCAAUGUAAGCUAGAUGGUAAGAUACCAAUAUGGGCAAUCCCCAGACAUAUGAUAGAGAAUAUAAAUAUACUUCAAAAAGUGGAGGUAAUUACCUAUAAAGAACUUUUGAUUAUAGAAAAGGGGGAAUUACAACUAAAAUCUAGGGAUAAAUUGAGGGACGAAGGGAGGAAUUAUACGUGGUUUCAGUACGGACAAUUGCAAACUAGAUGGAAAAUAGAUCAGAAAAUUGGUAUUAGGAAAAGUGAUGUCAACUUGGUAAAUAAAAGAUCAAGGCCAACAGCAUAUUAAGAGAUUAUAUAAUGUAUUGGUAGAAAUUGAUUCAGAAACAGAGUUAGUUAAAGAUUGUAUGGUAAGAUGGGCACAAAAUUUUCAACAACCUAUAAUGUUAGAAACAUGGGAAAAAAUUUGGGUGAGGAAUGUUAAAUUUACACAAGCACAAAACCUAAGAGAAAUUUUUUAUAAAAUGUUUUAUAGAUGGCAUUUAGAUCCGAAAAAACUGUCGUGUAUGUAUCCAAAUGUGAAAGCAAAAUGUUGGCGAUGUGAUUGUGAGGAUGCUACUUAUUAUCAUAUAUGGUGGACUUGUAAAAAAGUUAAAGCUUUUUGGAUUAAAAUAUGAUGGAUUAUGCAGAACAUUUUGAAAAAGAAGAUUAAGUUUACUCCACAGUUCUUCUUAUUAGGAAGAAUUUCAGACUGUACAGUUAUAGAGACUAAAUUGAUUUUAAACUUAAUAACUACUGCAAGACUAUUGAUUGCACAAUAUUGGAAGAAAGAAGAAUUACCUACAAUUGGAGAAUGGACAACUAAAGUAUCAAAUCUAGCAGAAAUGGCAAAAAUUUCUGUGUAUUUGAAAGAUUAUACACAAAAAAAAUACAUUUUGGAAUGGAGAAAGUGGAUUGAUUAUAUUCAAAAUAAGUAUCAGAUUAAAAAUAUCAGUUAGUUUUUGAGUGAAGUUAGGAUUUGUUUUGUAUUAAUAUGUUUAAGAAAGAGGGGAAUUGAUAGUGUGAAGGUGUGAAGUGAUUGAGGAUUAUGUUUUAUGUUUUAUUUUAGAUUAUGUUUGUUAGACAUUAUACUCUGUAUUCUGUUCU